UUUAUCUUUUUUUCUCAAUUUUUUGAAUUUUUUCCCUUUCUUUUGUUCUAAAAAAGUCUGCAAAAUAUAUUAAAGAUAUCUUAUUUAUCUCUCUCCUCAGAUUAAUACAAUUAAUUACUUUCCUAAAAUUUCUCUUCCUUCCUUCUUUUUCUGCCGUUCCUUUCUUUCAAAUCGUCAGAAAAUUAAACAUCCCUUAUUUAUGUGAUAUUCUAAAAGUCCAACAAUCAAGUCAUUAAUCCCCUAUAAUUAGCAUUUACUUCCUCCAUUACCCUGGUUAAACAUGAUAAAAACUGUUACUGAAUUUCACAAAAGACACCCGUUUGAUUGCAACUCAUUAAUUAUAGAGAUACUGUAACGUUCCAAAAAAAUUCAUAAAAUUCCUCUAUUUUACUUUUGCCGAAUCUUUAACAAAUGGAAAACAUGCCACUUCGUGAUGAUAAUGAGGAGGACAUGAAAGAACAAACUACACUCGAUGAUCACCAUGAGGAGAAGGAGUUCAUUGAAGAUUGAUUAUGUUUGGCAAUUUUUACUGAAGAUUGAAAAACUGUUUAGUGUUGCAUGAGGUUAAGGUUUGAUCGUUGUAAAGAUAUUCCUCUCCAUGAAUAUCUUUCGCACAAGGUAAAAAAUAAAUGAAUUAUAUCUCUUCCUUUAACCCCUCUUUUCCUUACUUUAUUUUCACUCUCAUUUUUCUCCAAGCUCUUAUCAUAAUAGUAGUACUUAGAUCUAUUUAGAGCACUGCACAUUAUUCUCUUUUUAAUCUUCGUUUUAAUUUAAUUGAUUUUCACUUUUCCCAAGUUCUUCACAUAAUAGUACUUGAAAUUUAUUUAGAGUAAUGAGUAUUGCAACAUUAUUCUCUCUUUAUACAUUUUGUUUCUUUUUAUUUACUUUAAGCACUAGAUUUUCAUUUAUACACCUUAUGAAAACAACAAUAUGAUUAAUAUUAAUAUGAUUGCAGGUUAUACAUAAAUUUAUCUCUAUAUUUAUUGGUUCCUUAUAUCGAGGACUUGAAAGAUAAGCAAGUAAUUUGCUUAAGCUGCUUCAGAAUUGAGAGGGAGAUUGCAGAAUAGGAAUGGAAAGGAAAAAGACGAAAAAGAGGAAACAAAUGAGAAAGGAAAGAAAAAUAGGAGAAGAAAUAUGUACUUGGGUUUAUUUUCUAAAAGUGAUAACUUUUUUUAAUUUGAGGAAAUAUGUUGUUCAUCUUGUUCUAAUUUUUAGAAGAUAUCAAUUAAGAAUCAUUUGUCUUUAGAUUGUUUAUCCCAGCAAAAAAUGAAGGAAAACAAAAGAGGGUCCGAAAUUUCUUAUAUUUACAUAACUCGCUUUUUAUUCCAUGUAUUUGGUGUUUAAAUUAAAUAAAUAAAUUUUAUUUUA